rnacentral:lncRNA from 1 species
UAGGAAUGUUUAGCCUCCUCACCUUGCAGGGCGGUGCAGAGCUCAACUUCUAUUCACAACAGACAGGCUUCUCUGUGCUGCCCAUCUGAUCUGAUCCAGUCAGAAGCCGGGGCAGGGCUGUCUCGUGGGCUGCCCAUCUGAUCUGAUCCAGCCAGAAGCCGGGGCGGGGCUGUCUCGUGGGCUGCCCAUCUGAUCUGAUCCAGCCAGAAGCCGGGUCGGGGCUGUCUCGUGGGCUGCCCAUCUGAUCUGAUCCAGCCAGAAGCCGGGUCGGGGCUGUCUCGUGGGCUGCCCAUCUGAUCUGAUCCAGCCAGAAGCCGGGGCGGGGCUGUCUCGUGGGCUGCCCAUCUGAUCUGAUCCAGCCAGAAGCCAGGUUUGGGGUGUCUUGAACUGCACAGUCACUUGGCAGCUAGAGGAAGGGCCAACCGAGAGAGAGAAAGAGUGAAAGAGCAAGAGGUCCCCUGGAGAGAGAGAGAGAAAACGAGUGAGUCUUCAAUGUAAUGGAGACAUUUCUGCCUCUUUAGGGAAGUAGAGGAAUCUGAGGAAUGUAUUGACUUCACACAAGCGUGCACCGCUUCUCCCCGACCCCCUUUCAGCCUCCCAGCCCCCCUCUCCGCCCCCCUCUCAGCCCUGAUUAGUGUGAAUCAAUGGAGUUCUGUGUUGUGGUGUCUGUUCUGCACGUGGUCCUCUGCCCCCAGCACAGAGACACAGCCACCACCCACACUGAGCUGAGCCACAGCAGCAGGGCACUGCCUACGGCUGCACAGUCAGACCUUCUAUAAGUUCUGACAGCACACUGCUGUCGCCCUCACAUCUAAACAGUACCUCCAUCACAACUUUACAUUCACCUUGAAAGUCAAACCCACAUCAGUCUCGCAGCACAGCCAACGGUUUGAUUUGUGAUUUAAACCUCUGCUUCAAUAUUUGUUUCGGGGUUUUUUUCACACUAAAUUAGGAGACGUUGAGUUUUUCUCUAAUCCAGUACUAGACAGCUGAUUGUAGGAAAUGUACAACUCUGCUACCUCUUGACAUACAUCGGAGGUUCACAGUACUCUGUCUGGCUUGAUUUUCCUGUUGUUUUUUUAUAUGUAUGAUGUGAUGUUUAUUUCAGCAUGUUUUAUUAGCAUUCACCAUCAAUAGACACUGAUGUCCUUAUACAACAGGAUUCAAGGGAGACCCAGAGAGUGGAGAGGCCGAAACUCACCAAAGGCCAUCGAGGCAUGUGUGAUUUCUUUUAAAAUGCAUUGUUUUGAAUUGUAAUGACCCACCCGAAACAGGGCGGGUUGUCUGCUUUGAUGCCUCGCUCAGUUAGAACGUGUCUUUAUUUUUGCGUUUUAUCGUUGCCGCUGUAGUCACACAAAACAAUAUAAAUGCCAUUAUUCACUUUUUUUGGGGGGGGGGGGACUCAUUUGAAUUGGAAGAGGGUUGAGGCUUUAUCAUACGUGCUAAAUUAGACCAAUUCAUCCACUUAUGGAAACACAUCAGAGAGAGUCAGAGAGAGAAUCAGCGAGAGAGUCAGAGAGAGAGUUAGAGAGAGAGUCAGAGAGAGAGUCAGAGAGAGCCAGAGUCAGAGAGAGUCAGAGAGCCAGAGAGAGAGAGUCAGAGAGAUAUUCAGAGAGAUAUUCAGAGAGCCAGAGAGAGAGUCAGAGAGCCAGAGAGAGAUUCAGAGAGCCAGAGAGAGAGUCAGAGAGCCAGAGAGAGAGUCAGAGAGCCAGAGAGAGUCAGAGAGCCAGAGAGAGAUUCAGAGAGCCAGAGAGAGAUUCAGAGAGCCAGAGAGAGAUUCAGAGAGCCAGAGAGAGAUUCAGAGAGCCAGAGAGAGAUUCAGAGAGCCAGAGAGAGAUUCAGAGAGCCAGAGAGAGAUUCAGAGAGUCAGAGAGAGAUUCAGAGAGCCAGAGAGAGAGAGUCAGAGAGUCAGAGAGAGAUUCAGAGAGCCAGAGAGAGAUUCAGAGAGCCAGAGAGAGAUUCAGAGAGCCAGAGAGAGAGUCAGAGAGCCAGAGAGAGAUUCAGAGAGCCAGAGAGAGAUUCAGAGAGCCAGAGAGAGAUUCAGAGAGCCAGAGAGAGAUUCAGAGAGUCAGAGAGAGAGUCAGAGAGUCAGAGAGAGAUUCAGAGAGCCAGAGAGAGAUUCAGAGAGCCAGAGAGAGAGUCAGAGAGCCAGAGAGAGUCAGAGAGCCAGAGAGAGAUUCAGAGAGCCAGAGAGAGAUUCAGAGAGCCAGAGAGAGUCAGAGAGCCAGAGAGAGAGUCAGAGAGCCAGAGAGAGAUUCAGAGAGCCAGAGAGAGAUUCAGAGAGCCAGAGAGAGAUUCAGAGAGCCAGAGAGAGAUUCAGAGAGCCAGAGAGAGAUUCAGAGAGCCAAGGCACCUCUCUAAUCCCCAAGGGGACUGUGUGUCUAGACAGACAAAAUACCUUGUAGCCUCCUCCAUCACACCCCGCCUCACCCACACCUCUACCCUCACUUCACCCUCCACUGUAGGGUCAGAGGUACAAAGGGCCUGGUGCCCUAGGUGUGUGUGUGUCACAGGGUCAUAGACAUACAGGAGGAUUAGGACCCUGUGUGUGUUGUGUUGUGUUGUGUGUUUCCUGCAGAAGGUGGUGUUGGGGACCACACCACAGUCCUGUCUAGAUAUCAACUAUCACAGCACUAGUCAGGGGAUUGUAACUCCGCUCUCAACUGCUCUCAUCCUGCCUGUUUGGCCCUGUCCGGGGGUAUCAUCGGAUGGGGCCACAGUGUCUUCUGAUCCCUCCUGUCUCAGCCUCCAGUAUAUAUGCUGCAGUAGUUUGUGUGUCGGGGGGCUAGGGUCAGUCUGUUACAUCUGGAGUAUUUCUCUUGUCUUAUCCGGUGUCCUGUGUGAAUUAAAAUAUGCUCUCUCUAAUUCUCUCUUUCUCUCUUUCUUUCUUUCUCUCGGAGGACCUGAGCCCUAGGACCAUGCCUCAGGACUACCUGGCAUGAUGACUCCUUGCUGUCCCCAGUCCACCUGGCCGUGCUGCUGCUCCAGUUUCAACUGUUCUGCCUGCGGCUAUGGAACCCUGACCUGUUCAACGGACGUGCUUGUUGCACCCUCGACAACUACUAUGAUUAUUAUUAUUUGACCAUGCUGGUCAUUUAUGAACAUUUUAACAUCUUGACCAUGUUCUGUUAUAAUAUCCACCCGGCACAGCCAGAAGAGGACUGGCCACCCCUCAUAGCCGGGUUCCUCUCUAGGUUUCUUCCUAGGUUUUGGCCUUUCUAGGGAGUUUUUCCUAGGGAGUUUUUCCUAGCCACCGUGCUUCUUUCACAUGCAUUGCUUGCUGUUUGGGGUUUUAGGCUGGGUUUCUGUACAGCACUUUGAGAUAUCAGCUGAUGUACGAAGGGCUAUAUAAAAAAUAUAAAAAAAAUACUAACAUUUUAUUUGAACUGUGGAACGGGGCGGUGUGUGAGUCUGCUCCAUGUUUCAACUGUGGAACGGGGCGGUGUGUGAGUCUGCUCCAUGUUUCAACUGUGGAACGGGGCGGUGUGUGUGUCUGCUCCAUGUUUCAACUGUGGAACGGGGCGGUGUGUGUGUCUGCUCCAUGUUUCAACUGUGGAACGGGGCGGUGUGUGAGUCUGCUCCAUGUUUCAACUGUGGAACGGGGCGGUGUGUGUGUGUGUGUGUGUGUGUGUGUGAAGCCCCUCUUGAUCUCAGGGAAUCAGCCCUCAUAAGAUCAUUAUUACUCAGGUUUUACUCUGGCUGACAGGUACCGUGCGUGCGUGCGUGUGUGUGUCAGGUACCGUUGGGAUUACGCUGCAGUCAAAACACUGGAACGGCCAAAUUACACUGAACCCAAAGACUUCAAAGGGUGACACGCACAUUUGCCAGUAAUACUUCAAAGAAAUUGUCCCAGACGUUAUGCUAAGUUAUCCCUGUAAAAAAUAGAUAUGUUUCUUCAAUCUGUUGACAUCCUUUGAACUUAAUGUUAUAUUACCAUUGAGCUCUGAUUGUAGGCUACAGCUACCAGUAAUAUCUCAAUCAACCAACUGUCAUCCAACUGUUGUGGUUGGCUUCCUUGAUAUUACCAAUGGCUCCUGUCCUGUGACUGUCUGUCUAUGAAAAGGGAUGUGGUUUUGUGGUAAUACGAGGUUCCCUUCUCUCCUUUCCUCUUUUUCCUUCCCCGUCUCCCCCUACCCCUCUCUUCCUCCCCAUCUCCCUCCAUCUCUCUCCCCCUACCCCUCUCUUCCUCCCCAUCUCCCUCCAUCUCUCUCCCCC